GGAGAAUGCAGUAACGGCUAGAGCAGUUUAAAGAAAGAAGAAAAGGGCUUCCUGUUCCAGGAAUAUCUGAUACAUUUGUGCUUGGAUAGAGACGGCUCAGGUGUGGACUGCCUUCCUACUCAUCACCUGAAGAAGACAAUCUUUCUAGACCCAGAACUUUGGACAUCACUUCAAUCAAUUCCUCAACUCCAUCAUGGCAGUGGCCCUUGCAUUUGCAGUCUUCUUAAGAGGACUAAGUUAGCCUCACAGUACAAAG